GCCUGCGCACUAGCAGCCUUCCGCGCUGCGUGCGGUUACCUCUUGGAGAGGUGGUUUUUCUCUAGUUUUUCGCUUUUUCUUCUCUGUGAAAUGGGGUAAAGGCACAAGCCUGGGCUGUUGCAGGACCCCCACCUCUUGAACGAUAUCUGAAACUGGUUAGAUUAGCUAUAAAUAUUUGCUGAGUGAACGGAACAAGCAGCCUGAUGUGGCGACUUUAGUCUCAGCCCUCGCUCCCAGUCCAGAGUCCCACUUGGACCUUCGCUCCUAGUCAGUUGCUAAAGCACAGACCCAUCAAAGCAUCCCUGUCAUGGCAGAAAAGUGAAGAAGAUAGGUGAAAAGGUAAAUCUUCUGUUGUCCUUAUCCCAAUACAUAGGCAACAGACCAGUGUGCUUCUAUAGGCUGAAUCGAAUACCUACACAUUUGCAUGAGAACUGCUGCACUUACUCUUUUCCAUAGGCUCUCUCCUAGUUGAGCAGGAGGCAGAAAUUAAUAUUGUUAAAUUAAUAGCUAACAAUUGAGCAGAUGAUGUACUAUACGAUGCUAGAGUAUGUACUAAGCAAUUUACAUGUAUUGUCUCUCCACCCUCACAACAACCCAAUAAAGCAGAGAAAAUUACAAUCCCUAGCCGGGCACAGCAGCUCAGCCUGUAAUCCCAGCACUUUGGGAAGCUGAGGUAGGAGGAUUGCUUGAGCUCAGGAGUUCGAGACCAUCCUGGGCAACAUAGCAAGACCCUGUCUCUAAAAUAAAGGGAAAAAAAGGGGGGCCAAGUGUGGUGGCUCAUGCCUGUCA
rnacentral:lncRNA from 1 species